GAGUUUGAUUAUGGCUCAGGAUGAACGCUGGCGGCGUGCUUAACACAUGCAAGUCGAACGAGAAAUGAUAUUACGAUCUCUUCGGAGUGACGAUUUUAUUUCGAGUGGCGGACGGGUGAGUAACGCGUGAGCAACCUGCCCUAUACCGGGGGAUACCAGUUGGAAACGACUGUUAAUACCGCAUAAGCGCACGAUAAGACAUCUUGUUGUGUGAAAAACUCCGGUGGUAUAGGAUGGGCUCGCGUAUGAUUAGCCAGUUGGCGGGGUAAAGGCCCACCAAAGCGACGAUCAUUAGCCGACCUGAGAGGGCGACCGGCCACAUUGGGACUGAGACACGGCCCAAACUCCUACGGGAGGCAGCAGUGGGGAAUAUUGCACAAUGGGCGAAAGCCUGAUGCAGCGACGCCGCGUGAGUGAGGAAGUAUUUCGGUAUGUAAAGCUCUAUCAGCA
rnacentral:rRNA from 1 species